UAAGGAAUAUUGCGCAAUGGGCGAAAGCCUGACGCAGCAACGCCGCGUGCGGGAUGAAGGCCCUCGGGUUGUAAACCGCUUUCAGUAGGGAAGAAAAUGACGGUACCUACAGAAGAAGCCCCGGCCAACUACGUGCCAGCAGCCGCGGUAACACGUAGGGGGCAAGCGUUGUCCGGAUUUAUUGGGCGUAAAGAGCUCGUAGGCGGUUUCGUAAGUCGGAUGUGAAAACUCCAGGCUCAACUUGGAGACGCCAUUCGAUACUGUGAUGACUUGAGUCCGGUAGGGGAGUGUGGAAUUCCUGGUGUAGCGGUGAAAUGCGCAGAUAUCAGGAGGAACACCGGCGGCGAAGGCGGCACUCUGGGCCGGUACUGACGCUGAGGAGCGAAAGCGUGGGUAGCAAACAGGAUUAGAUACCCCCGUAGUCC
rnacentral:rRNA from 1 species